UAGGACGAUCCGCUGACGCAUGACGUAUUACUUUAAAUAUAGUGUCAAAAUAACCUUGAAAAUUUGAGGUAUGACCUCAUCUAAUCUCCAGUAGCAAUUUUGACCAAUAUUGGAGGUGUUAUGCGUCUGGAUCGUCUUAC
rfam:Yersinia mollaretii ATCC 43969 contig01521, whole genome shotgun sequence.